UACGUAGGUGGCAAGCGUUGUCCGGAUUUAUUGGGCGUAAAGCGUGCGUAGGCGGCUGCGCAAGUCGGUUGUGAAACCCCGGGGCUCAACCCCGGAACUGCAUCCGAUACUGCGUGGCUAGAGGUAGGUAGGGGAGAUCGGAAUUCCUGGUGUAGCGGUGAAAUGCGCAGAUAUCAGGAGGAACACCGGUGGCGAAGGCGGAUCUCUGGGCCUUACCUGACGCUCAGGCACGAAAGCUAGGGGAGCGAACAGG
rnacentral:rRNA from 1 species